UAGGGAAUCUUCCACAAUGGACGCAAGUCUGAUGGAGCAACGCCGCGUGAGUGAAGAAGGUUUUCGGAUCGUAAAGCUCUGUUGUUGGUGAAGAAGGAUAGAGGUAGUAACUGGCCUUUAUUUGACGGUAAUCAACCAGAAAGUCACGGCUAACUACGUGCCAGCAGCCGCGGUAAUACGUAGGUGGCAAGCGUUGUCCGGAUUUAUUGGGCGUAAAGCGAGCGCAGGCGGAAGAAUAAGUCUGAUGUGAAAGCCCUCGGCUUAACCGAGGAAUUGCAUCGGAAACUGUUUUUCUUGAGUGCAGAAGAGGAGAGUGGAACUCCAUGUGUAGCGGUGGAAUGCGUAGAUAUAUGGAAGAACACCAGUGGCGAAGGCGGCUCUCUGGUCUGCAACUGACGCUGAGGCUCGAAAGCAUGGGUAGCGAACAGGAUUAGAUACCCUGGUAGUCCAUGCCGUAAACGAUGAGUGCUAAGUGUUGGGAGGUUUCCGCCUCUCAGUGCUGCAGCUAACGCAUUAAGCACUCCGCCUGGGGAGUACGACCGCAAGGUUGAAAC
rnacentral:rRNA from 1 species